GACGAACGCUGGCGGCGUGCUUAACACAUGCAAGUCGAACGGAAAGGCCCUGCUUUUGUGGGGUGCUCGAGUGGCGAACGGGUGAGUAACACGUGAGUAACCUGCCCUUGACUUUGGGAUAACUUCAGGAAACUGGGGCUAAUACCGGAUAGGAGCUCCUGCUGCAUGGUGGGGGUUGGAAAGUUUCGGCGGUUGGGGAUGGACUCGCGGAUUAUCAGCUUGUGGGUGGGGUAGUGGCUUACCAAGGCUUUGACGGGUAGCCGGCCUGAGAGGGUGACCGGCCACAGUGGGACUGAGAUACGGCACAGACUCCUACGGGAGGCAGCAGUGGGGAAUAUUGCACAAUGGGCGGAAGCCUGAUGCAGCAACGCCGCGUGCGGGAUGACGGCCUUCGGGUUGUAAACCGCUUUCGCCUGUGACGAAGCGUGAGUGACGGUAAUGGGUAAAGAAGCACCGGCUAACUACGUG
rnacentral:rRNA from 1 species